AUGACGGGAACAGCUGUAAAUCCUUUGUUUCGAGCUGCAUACUUGGCUAAAUCUUCCAAGCAAUAUGUAACCUUGAUGGUGCCCUGGCUUUGCAAGUCAGACCAAGAGCUCGUCUAUCCGAAUAACAUGACUUUUAGUUCUCCAGAAGACCAAGAAACUUAUAUAAGGAAUUGGCUGGAGGAAAGAGUUGGAUUUAAAACCGACUUCAGAAUAUCAUUCUAUCCUGGAAAGUUUCAGAAAGAAAGGAGAAGUAUAAUUCCUGCUGGGGACACUUCACAAUUUAUACCAUCAAAGGAAGCUGACAUUGCAAUUCUGGAAGAGCCUGAGCACCUGAACUGGUACCAUCAUGGAAAGCGUUGGACUGAUAAAUUUAAUCAUGUCGUCGGUGUUGUGCAUACAAAUUACUUGGAGUAUAUCAAGAGAGAGAAGAAUGGUGCUAUUCAAGCUUUUUUUGUCAAGCACAUUAACAACCUUGUUGCCAGAGCUUAUUGCCAUAAGGUUUUGCGACUAUCUGGGGCUACUCAAGAUCUAGCCAGAUCCAUGAUCUGCAAUGUACAUGGUGUUAAUCCCAAGUUUCUGGAGGUUGGGGAGAGAAUAGCAGCAGAGAGGGAAUCUGGCGAGCAGUCCAUGUCCAAAGGAGCUUAUUUUCUGGGGAAGAUGGUCUGGGCCAAAGGCUACAGAGAACUGAUAGAUUUGCUUGCGAAGCACAAGACGGAUUUGGACGGUUUCAAACUGGACGUCUAUGGAAACGGUGAAGAUUCAGUAGAAGUGCAAUCAGCUGCCAAGAAGCUGGAUUUAAAUCUUAACUUCCAUAAAGGCCGAGAUCAUGCAGACGAUUCUCUUCAUGGGUACAAGGUUUUUGUAAACCCGAGCAUUAGUGAUGUCCUCUGCACCGCCACUGCUGAGGCACUAGCCAUGGGCAAGUUUGUGGUCUGUGCGGAUCACCCAUCCAAUGAUUUCUUCAGAUCAUUCCCAAACUGCCUGACGUACACGACGUCAGAGGAUUUUGUUGCCAAAGUGAAGGAAGCAAUGACCCGCGAUCCCCAGCCCCUCACACCUGAGCAGCGGUACAACCUUUCGUGGGAGGCUGCGACCCAGAGGUUCAUGGAGCACUCAGAACUGGACAAGGUCCUGAGCAGCAAUGGUGAUUCUGCCAGCACCUCUGGAAGCAGCGUCGAUAGGAGGAUGAAGAAAUCAGCCUCAUUGCCAAACAUGUCGGACAUCGUGGAUGGCGGCCUAGCAUUUGCCCACUACUGCUUCACGGGCAGCGAGCUCCUCCGGCUGUCGACUGGGGCGGUGCCCGGGACCCUGAACUACAAUAAGCAACAUAGCGUGGACAUGCACCUGCUGCCCCCUCAGGUACAGAAUCCUGUAUAUGGCUGGUAA
rnacentral:rRNA from 1 species